AUGACUGAGGACGAAAAGAUUAGGUGCUCAGCUAAUCAGUUUCUAGCUCUUCAGAAUCUUCCUCAGUGUGAGUUUGAUGAAACUCAUGAACAUAGGCUCCACUGGUGGGAAGUGUCCGAUGCUGAACUGCAUAUGUUGAUGGAUCCCAAGCUUGUGGGUGAUGCUUACACUAAAGCAAAUCCCAAGAAUCAUCCUAUGAAAACAAAGUGUUGUUCUACAUUCUGUGCAAUUACAUCACUCCAACCAUCCGACCAGAAACCAUUCAAAGCAUUGUGGCAAAUGCUCCCAAUAUUAUAUUAA
rnacentral:rRNA from 1 species